GUCGGUCGUUUCAUUUCUCCAGGAGUGCAGUGUAGAAGUAGAUUUCUAGGGUUUGAAAGAUUUUGGUAGGGUUUCUUACUUCAUUCUUCAAUCUCAUUCUCAAUCUUAAUUUCUAUGAAAUCAAUGGCAAGUAAAAGAAAGAAACAGAUAAGAACUCAACCAGAAACACAGAAUACAGUGAUGAUUUCGAAGAAGAAGAAAAAAGUCGAAAAUGAUGGUGAUUCCGAAGGAUUCAGUAAUACUCUUCCUCAUCUUUCUCAUGAUACUAUUAUAAAUGAUAUACUAACCAGAGUACCUAUUGAUAGUUUAAUGCGAUUCAAAUGUGUAUGCAAAUUGUGGCUUAAUUUGAUCUCCAAUGAUUCUGAAUUUAUCAAUAUGCAUGCUCGUCGAACUGGGACUCAUGGGUUUGGGUUUAUAUAUCUUCAAUUAGCUUAUACUGAUGAUGAUAGUGAAGUAGGUAGAGAAAUUGAUGAUGUUGAUGGUGUUAUCAAAUCUGAUGGUAUUGUUUUCUGUAAUAUUGAUAAGAAAGAAAACAAGGUUAUCCAUUUUAAACCUGAAACUGGUUUGGGAAAUAGGAAACUAGUAAUUCGACAUGCGCUCAAUGGUUUAGUUCUUUUAUCUCGCCAAGAAGAUGAUUUUGGUUUUACUCAACAUGUUUUUAACCCAAUUACUGGUUAUUCAGUUCAGCUUGCUGGUGUUUAUUAUGCUAUCACUGGUGAAAGAUAUUAUCACCUAGCUUAUGAUGCAGCUGCUGGAAGAGAGAGUUUAUCUUCAAACUUGUUACUGUAGGUGUUAAAGUGAUUCUUGGAGGGGUGUCGUUGCUCUAUCGUCUCCCCGUUUACGGGAUGAUUAUGAGGUGGUGUUUGCUAAUGGAUCUUUAAAUUGGUUGACUCAUGAUAGGUACGGUAUGGGUGGUUGUAAAGCUGAUCAGGGUAAAAUUCUUAGUCUUGAUGUUAGUAAAGAAAAAUUUUAUACCAUGGAUUACCCGAGGGGAGUUUCAGAUGCAUGUAAACUAUUGGAGAUGGGAGGAUCGCUUUGUUUCUUUGACUAUGAGUCCACCGGGAAGAUAAAAUUAUGGGUUUUGAAGGAGAAUGAGGAGAACCCGAGAAAACAAUAUCAGCAUACUGAAUGGUUGGAGUAUAAUAUUGAUAUAUUACAGAAUAAUGCUGUACCAAAACUCUUCCAUGAUUACGAAAGCAAUAACUGUGUUGGACUUGUUAAGAAUCCCACACUUCAGAUCAUAUUUUGGAAUAUUAUUUCGCACAUAUAUGAUGAGCCAGAUGAGAGGGGGUUUAUUAGUUGUUACAGUCCCGAGGACUACAGUUAUGAUGUUGAGUUGAAAACGUUUGCUUUCAUCUGUGACAAUAUCGGGACAUUUGUCAAGUGGGAUCUCAACUCCCUUGUCCACUUUCAAUCUACAUUUUCUGGUAGUUCGAUGGGUUAGAGAACAACUACAGUGAUGGAACAAGCAGGAUGCAGGCAGAAUCUCUAAGCUUGUUCACUGCAGUGCAGUGAUCUCAGGAGCUGGACAUUAGCAGGAAGCAUGAAUGUAGCUCAUGACUGUACAUUUAACUUAUUUAGAACUGGUCCUUCAAGUCUUAUAUGGAGGAUAGUAUAAUUAUGAGACUGUUCUGCUUGCUUUAGAAUGCUUUUGUCAUCUUGUUUGAUUACUCUGAAGCACUAGACAAUCUUUAGUACUCUUGUUAGUAAACUGCCCAACUGGUAUUUUUGUGUUUGGUAGGAAAAGAAGAAGUUGCAU